UUCUUCGGGGCGGGGUGCAAGUCCCCACCGGCAGUUAAAGUCUGCGAGUUGCUUUCAGCAACUGAUUUGGUGAGAUUCCAAAACCGACGGUAUAGUCCGGAUGGGAGGAGGA
rnacentral:ncRNA from 1 species